UACAACAGUAUUGAGCGAUUCUAUAACCUUUAUAGAACCCACCCUGCUAAAAUUAGUAACACGAAGAGCCCUUCUCUAUGAUUCAAACGUAAAUCAGACCGGACUAAACCACUGAUAAUUAACGCUCAUGAGCCACUAGCGGCAACCCAACAAGAAAACCCCGCCCACACCUGCGUUAACCUGACACAAGCGAAUCCCAAGAAAGAUUAAAAAAAAGCGGAAGGAACUCGGCAAACCUCAGCCCCGCCUGUUUACCAAAAACAUCGCCUCUUGCCUCUAUAAGAGGUCCCGCCUGCCCAGUGACCCAAUUCAACGGCCGCGGUAUCCUGACCGUGCGAAGGUAGCGUAAUCACUUGUUCUUUAAAUAAGGACUCGUAUGAACGGCACCACGAAGGCUGCACUGUCUCCCGCCUUUAAUCAGUAAACUUAAUCUCCCCGUGAAGAAGCGGGGAUGUAACCAUAAGACGAGAAGACCCCAUGGAGCUUAAAACAUAAGGCACCUGCUAACAAAUAAAGUUAAGCACAUUGACCCCACGUUUUCGGUUGGGGCGACCACGGAGAACAACCCACCCUCCAUGCUGAAAGAUAAUAUCUUAGCCAAAAAUAACCCAUUUAAGCACCAGAACCCUGACAUCCAUUGACCCAAUCUAUUUGAUCAACGAACCAAGUUACCCUGGGGAUAACAGCGCAAUCCACUUCAAGAGCCCCUAUCGACAAGUGGGUUUACGACCUCGAUGUUGG
rnacentral:rRNA from 1 species